CCUACGGGGUGCAGCAGUGGGGAAUAUUGCACAAUGGGCGCAAGCCUGAUGCAGCCAUGCCGCGUGUAUGAAGAAGGCCUUCGGGUUGUAAAGUACUUUCAGCGGGGAGGAAGGGAGUAAAGUUAAUACCUUUGCUCAUUGACGUUACCCGCAGAAGAAGCACCGGCUAACUCCGUGCCAGCAGCCGCGGUAAUACGGAGGGUGCAAGCGUUAAUCGGAAUUACUGGGCGUAAAGCGCACGCAGGCGGUUUGUUAAGUCAGAUGUGAAAUCCCCGGGCUCAACCUGGGAACUGCAUCUGAUACUGGCAAGCUUGAGUCUCGUAGAGGGGGGUAGAAUUCCAGGUGUAGCGGUGAAAUGCGUAGAGAUCUGGAGGAAUACCGGUGGCGAAGGCGGCCCCCUGGACGAAGACUGACGCUCAGGUGCGAAAGCGUGGGGAGCAAACAGGAUUAGAUACCCGCGUAGUC
rnacentral:rRNA from 1 species